rnacentral:lncRNA from 1 species
GUCCCCUGUGUCCCCAGGUGCUGUCCGGGGCGGUGGUGGCACUCCUGUCCCCCCCGUGACCCGUCCGUGUCCCCUGUGUCCCCAGGUGCUGUCCGGGGCGGUGGUGGCACUCCUGGCCCCCCCGUGACCCCUCCGUGACCCCUCUGUGACCCGUCCGUGUCCCCUGUGUCCCCAGGUGCUGUCCGGGGCGGUGGUGGCACUCCUGUCACCCCCUGCGCCCCCCACCCUGGCCCCGGCGCUGCUCCAGACCCUGGCGGGGGCGGCGGCCCUGGGGGGGCUCCUGCUGCGGGACCCCCCCCGGCUGCCCCCCGGCUACGGCACCUGCCUGGACCUGCUCCGGGCCAUCAGUGGGACCCUCAUCUUCCUCGUGGCGGCCCUGGUGGCCUUGGCCUCGUCCCGUGACGCCCUGGCUGCCACCACCUUCACCUUCAGCCUCCUCCUGGCCUUGGUCUUCGCCUUCGACACCUUCGUCACCUUCCGCACGCGGGUGGCCCCGGCCCUGGGACAGGAUCCUGACAUGGAGGGCCACUGAUGGUCACCACCCCCCACACUGUCUCAUUGUCUUCUGGUCCAGUCCGCCAUCCCCCACCCCAAAAAUUAAACCUUGUCCCACACCUGGUGCUGCUCAGGGUCGUGUUUUUGGGGUGGGGUGGCCGAGGGGACAUUGUGUCCCUCCUGUGGCUCAUGAACGGGUUAAUGACGGCAUUGGGGUCCCCUCGUCUUGGACAGGGGGUAGGGGGUGUCACUGGUGGGGAGAGGGUCCACUGUGGGGUUGGGAGUCACUCAUGAUGGUGAGACCAUCAUCAUCAUCAUGGGUCCA